UGCACUCAUGACUGUAAGUUGCCUUGGAUAAAAGUGUCUGCUAAAUGGAUUAUA
rfam:Salmo salar isolate Sally breed double haploid chromosome ssa02, whole genome shotgun sequence.